rnacentral:lncRNA from 1 species
UGGGUCUAUUUUUUGACUUGUUCUUUAAAUUUCUUCUGAAAUAACUUUCUUAUUUGCACAGAUUAUGCUUCCUGUUACUAAAAAACUAUUGAAGGAUGACAUUUUAAUCUUAGGGGGAAGAAACAUGAUAUAUUGUAUAAGUCUCGUUACACUGGGAAUUGAGAGUGGCAGAGCUGCGUAGGAGACUGAGUUGCACAAGAGCCUUCUGCUCUUGUAAACACUGCAGUGGUAAUAUGUAGGGAAAGCAUUACAAGCCAAAAGGUUUUAAUUUCUAGAGAGUGUGAGGAACAGGAAGGAAAUUCUGUUAGUGAAGGGUUGGAGAUUUUUAUUGGUGGUGCUUGUUGGUUGUUUUUUAAUGCAGAAAUUCAUUUUUUACUAGAAAUCGGAUUUACAAGAAUUGGAAGAACAUAACAGAACAAUUGAAUGGAAAGAUACAUCAUGUUCAUAUGUCUAAUUUCUUACUGCUGUUAGAGCUGUGAGAGUGCUUCAUUCUUUCUUUAUUUAAUGCUUAGCUGAUUGUGACUGUCAUAGAUCUGUAGGAUUUCCAGAAUACCAAACAGGGAAAGGAAGUUAAAAGUAAAAACGAUUUUAUUUUUCUUUCUCAGUUACAAACUGUUCUUGGAAUAUUAUUUGUCAUAUUUAUAGCGUAGGAAGCCUCCAGAUUCUUACGUUCUUCAAAUAUGGUAGAAACAUCACACUCAAUGUUUAUUCAUCCAUUUGUGUAGAAAUUAGUUAUCUAAUCUCUAUUGAUCAGCUGGUCUCAACUCUGUAAUCAUUGGAGAGAAACUGGAAGUGGUGAGGAGUGCUUUCCUCCCACUUGCUCAGAAGGCCUAAAACCAGUGGAUCGAAUCAUGUUCUGAAAAGGUAUUCAUCUUUCUCCAUCAACCAGCCCAGGAGGCAGGGAGCAGUGGGGAGGGAAGAGAUAAAAAAAAAACAGAGCCUGUUUUUCCAACCAACACUUACUACCUAGUGCUUAGCAUAAAAUAUUUCUAAAAUGAGGCAGUAAAAAUUGUGUUAAUUUGUAGACUGGUUCUAUAUCCCAUGGGAUAUGUUGGUUCUUGUAACAUCAAUCUACUCAUAAAAUAUAUAUAUAUAUAUUUACUGUGUAUUUAAGCACUUUGUUCAAUUAGCAGUCAGAACUGAGCUAAAUUACUGCCUUUUAGUGUAUCCUAAAUUAUCCAUAAGCAGAUUACUUUAUCAGCUCAUUGUUUUCUUAUUGCAGAGAAGCUGGACAAAAAUUCCCCAGCAGAUUUAAUGUGAAUAUUUAAUUGGCUUUAGGGAUAAAACUUUCCCUGUUUUAAAGUAGAAAUCCUUUACUGAACCAAUAUGUUUAGGCAG